rnacentral:lncRNA from 1 species
GGCAUGGCGGAGAAGGAUGACACCGGAGUUUGACGAAGAGGUGGUUUUUGAGGUUCGGCCAGUGGGAAGGACCUGCAGAUCAGAGGAUGGAGGAAAGAGCGCCAGAGAGACAUUAAAACUACCACUACUAUGGAAGUACCACUACUAGAUGGAAGUUUGACCUGGACAUGGUGGCUCACACUUGUAAUCCCAGCACUUUGAGAGGCCAAGGUGGGAG